AAGCUUGUGUUGACUGCAUGGUGAGUUUUUAAGUCCCGUUUUUAAUGAUUUUAUGUUUUUGAGUUCGUUUUAGCUUAAUCUAGCUAGCCUGGGGUUAAUUUUCAAAAUUGUUAAAGGUUGAGGGACUUAUCAUGAAUUAUUUUGAAUGAUUUUUGAUGUUAAUUGAUAGAUUAUAAAUCCUAGUUGAAAAAUAAACAAGUUUUGUAAAGUUAUUUUUUUUUAUGAAUUUUGGAAUUAGGGAUUAAAUUGUUAAAGGUGUAAAUCUAUAUGUUUCACUGUGAAAUGAUAGUAAAUAUGGGUUGCUUCAAGGUCCCUUUUA
rnacentral:lncRNA from 1 species